UAACAUCGUUUGACUUGACCAACCAACCAAUUCCAUUUGUGCUUGGUGGAUCUCUGAAUGUAAUGGAAGCCAACAUUAAACUGUUAGCUAAGGACUCACCUUAUGGUGAUAAUCUGGACUACAUCUACACUGAGCUUCCUGCUGCGCUGUCUCAUGUGCAUAAACUCUCGAUAACCUCGGGUCUCUUCGUUUAUGAUCAGGUUUUGUCUGUUGCUGAAAGCACUUAAGUUCAUUCAACUAUUACUUACCUUUAUUUGCACCUGACAUGUUUGUUCUUCAUCUCAUACAUAUUUUGACUCUCAUGGUUAUAUUUCAGCUGCAAGGGUUUUCCAAAACCUCAGCCAGAUUCAUCAAUCUGAGGCAUCUGACCAUGUAUUUGCCUCUUUAUGGGGAACCUAAGUCAAUUAGUGGGAUUCUUCGCUUGGCCUACCUACUGGAAUUGGCCCCAGCUCUAGAAGAAUUGGAAUUGCAUGUGAGUGGCUUACUAACUCUAUAAUCUGUUAUAGAUUUUCUCAAGGUAUGCCUUAUCUGUAGAAGUUUUUGUAGAGCAAUUGCAGCACUAGUGUACCAGGCAUAUUGUUUAUCAUCUUUGCUAAUUUUGAAUUGUCUGAAUAUUUAUUAUCCCUCAUUAAUCCAAAACUCUACAGUUCAAAAUUGCAGUAACAUAAAAGUUGUUGAGUGUUGAUGUUGUAGUUAAAAAAGAUUUAAAAAGACAAAAAAGUAGCAAUGUUGCAAUCAAUUGAACAUUGAACACUAUUGUACUUCAUUACCAUACAAGCCGAGGUGCCCAUGCGUUGGUAGUUUGCUUCAAGGUCUCGAAUACAUGAUAGUUUAAAAUUGUAUUGCUGGAACUGGGUGAUGUUCCACAGCUUAGAAAGUGGUCUUAUAAGUAGGCCUGUGGGUACCGUGUACGAAUGUAAAGGAGCAAGUCGAAGUGGUUUCAGCCAAAACAAAUAGACUAACUAUGUACAUUUCAUCUUCUCCACUUCCUCACGCAGCCACAGCCAUUAAUUCCCUCACACUGUCAUGAGCUCACGGUCGCACGACUCCUUCCCCCACUUCCUCUAUGCCUCCCACAACGGUGACCCACUAGGCGAAACAACACUUCUACGCCUCCCUCGACGGACAACCCACCCGAGCCCACACAUCUCCUGCAACGCUGCUCCUCCAGCGACUCUGCUCCUCGCCUCCUCCCACAACGGCGAAGUGCAGUUCUCCUCCCGCGAAACGGCAAGGGUGGCGCUGCUCCUCGCCGCCUCCAUGACGGCGCUCCUCCCGCGACCGGCUGCUUUGGCCACCCAACCAACAUUGUGCAUGCCAAGAAAACAAUGCUGUGGUUGAUGUCAUAAUAAACACAUAUUGGUUUGAGCUCUCACAUAAAACAAUUUUCGUAACAUUCACUAGUGAUGGACAGAGAAUAGACAAAAAAAACACAAGGAACAACAGCCAAUGAUGUAUAUGCCUGUGGCAUUGGGCUGGCUGGUUAAGCAUAUGGCCAACAGUCAUUUGUUGUCAUGUGGCCAAAUGUGAAUAGGUGAGGGUAGUAAAAUGAACCUUUUCCCUUCAAAGAAAUCAAACUUUUAGCCUUUUAUUUUACCGUUCCCAUCGUCUUCUCCAGCCAUUCUACAAGCAGAAGCGCUCCUCUUCAGUUCUGCCUGCGCAGAUCUAUCUUGGUUGUGCCCUCUCUCUCCCCCCCCCCCCCCAUAGCCACAGUCCUCAUACUCCCCUGCUUUCUUCCCCCCUCUCUGGCUUCUUUUUAACGAGGUUGUUCCUGCAUUCCCGGAACGUUCUGGUUACUAUGUUUGGGACCAAACCAAACAUUUAGCUCAAUAUCGCCACACUUAGGCUUUAAACCCCAAAAGGGCAAGCUUGAUGUGGCGGUGAGAGCUGUCUCACUUGAGUCAUCAUGUUGGUGAGAGCCUCUGGCACUGGGUCUGCUCUCUUAGGCUUUAAACCCACCAUAUGUCUGAUAUAUUUCAUUGGUCUCAUUUGUGUUGUGUGAAUCAUUUUCACCAAAUGAUAACUUUACCAAGCAAGGUUUUCAAGUCGAUAAGUCGAGUCGACAAGGUACCGACUUGGUGACUAGACGAUAAGUCAGUUGACUAGUCGUCGACUUGCCAAUAUAGUGGAUGUUUUCCCUAUAUAAUUGCUUCAUAUAGACAAUAUAACAUUUAUAUAUGAAGAAAUAGGAUGUUUUACCUCAUUUGAAGCCUGAAAUUGAACGAAACUGAAAUAAACAACAAGUCUUACCUCAUUUGAAUCCUCAAACUGAACCAAAUCAGACACAUAAGUGAUAAGUCAUAAACUCAUAAGUCAUAACAGCCAUAUAGUUCAAAUUGGAAAACAAAUAGCAAGAAAAUAUAGUUCAAACUUGAAAGGAAAAAAGUCAUAAACUUAUAAGAAAAUAUAGUCCAACCCCUGUGAGGCAGUAGUGUGGCAGUCCCACCUGUCAACAUAGCUGUGGUAGAACAUACCACCACCACUGUCGCUUUUUAAGUAGUGAAGAUUAUUUGGGUGAUACAAUACAGUUUUAUCCAUUUCUGAAGCCAAUUGGAUUUUUUUGUAUUGGCAUUGAUGAAAGUAUGUGAAAUGUAAACUGUAAGUAGUACUUUCAUACGGAUGUCAAAUAUAACAGUCCUAGUUGUGAUGUUAUUAGGGUUACAUUGCUGCUAGAGGACACUAGGACUAGGAUAGUAUGUGUUUCAUUAAACCUUACAAGUAUGUUUGAUUCCACGUUUAUUGGUUUCACAGGCCUGUUCUUAUUGUUUUCAUAUGUAUGAUGUGAUUCUAAAUGUGUAAUUUGUGUUUGCUUAAUUUCUCCUUGUUUAUUUUUUUCCCCACAUUCAUAUGAAAAAUUGAUAUGAUGGAUCUCAUAAGUCUGGCAUCUUUGCAUGCAGGUGAAUGGCGGUGGCGUGGAUGUUGGGUGGGCACUCAGACGGAAUAUGUUACCGUACUCACACAAUAGGCUCAAGAGGGUCCUUAUUUCAGGAGCCACUGUAUGGGAGGGGCUAAUGGAGCUGGCAUACUACAUUCUUCGGAGUGCCAAUAGACUCGAAAGUAUGGUCUUAGAUCCAAAGAUAAGGAUUGGGGGUCCUCAGCUGGAUGGUUGGAUGAUUGAUAUUGGUAGGGAGACGAUCAAAAAUAUUUUUGAGGGAGAGGAGUUUCAGAGCAUUAUUACUAUUCUGUAAGAAUGGUAAGAUAGGCCACAGGAUUUUGGUGGUCACACCAAGUGGCCAUGUUUGAUUAUGCCAUAGGUUUGACCAGUAUGGUCAUAAAUGUUUGUUGUUUUCAUUUCCGACCUCAGGAAAUGUAAAUUAAUACUCCCUCCAUCCAUUUUUCAUUCGCGUAUACUUCUCGGCAGUGACCAAAUUAAGUUUGAAAAAAAAACCGUUUCAUUUUUGCUGUUGCAUGUGACGUGGCCCACGCCUGCAUGCAUGCGAAUAAAAGAUAGGACACAUGAAGUUUAGUUAGUAAGGGUAAGAAUACCAAAAUACUUUUGAGCAUUCUUCUGUCAUUAAUGUAACUGAAAUAAAAGAGGGACUGUCAGUGGAAUUAAUAUGAUUUAAUCUGGGUGUUUUGUUUAUGUGAACUAAUUUUAGUUUCUUCAUUUUAUUUUAUUUUAGUUCUUAAAAUGAGAAAUACAUAAAAACAGAGUUUUAGUUUUGGUAUCUGCCAAUUUAGAAACUAUGAUGGAACAAAAUGGAGGACUAAAACUUAGUCUCUAGAAACUAAACAUCCCUUAGGGCUGAUUUGGUGACCAGGGAUCACGGAGGGAUUAGAGGGGAUUGAGGGGGAAAUUAGUUUAUUUUUCCCUCAAUCCCCUCCGAUCCCCCCGUGAUCCCCUUAUCACCAAAUUAACCCUUAAGGGCUGAUUUGGUGCUAAGGGAUCCUAAGGGGAUCCAUGAGGGAGGAAUCCCCUUGUUAUUCAAAAUUGAAUUGUAAGGGGAUUUCUCCCCCAUGGAUCCCCUUGGAAUCCCUUACCACCAAAUUAGCCCUAAGGGGUGUUUAAAUGCACUAGAGCUAAAACUUAGUCUCUAGAAACUAAACAUCUCUUAGGGCUUGUUCGUUUUGGUGAUAAUCCACAUGUAUUGGGUGGGAUUGAGUCGGUUUAAAUCCAUAACAAGUCAAAAUACAUCUCAAUCCCACCCAAUACACUCAAAUACACAUGUAAUAUCAAUAACCGAACAAGCCCUUAAGGAGAGAGACAUGUCCUAAACGUAUCCUCUUGGAUGGUCGCGUCCAUAUCCUCGAGCAGUGCGGUCUUGCUCAAGCAGCUUUUUGUAACGAUUAAAUACAUAUAGGACAUGCAUACGUCAGCAAGUGACUUAGUGUCGUACCCGUGAAGCACGGACGACGCGACGCUCUCCAAACCGGUAACGAUUAUGCGUGGACGAUCAGUCUGCAUAGAUUGGAAUUUGGAAAUUUUGGUCUGCUUCAUUUUUUCUCUCGCUCAUUUUUGGCCCAACGGCCCAGCCCAUUGAGUAAAGCAACUGGUGCCCUAUAUAUACGCAAAAAGACAUGACUGCCUCUGCACACCGCCACUCGCCCACACGCGAAGGCACCUAGCAGCCGCCACUCGCCGAACUGAGGAACACGCCUGGCGACGGGAUACAGCAGCAGCGCGCCCCUCUAUCCCCGACGCGACGGCGCCCUGCAGCUGCAGGCACGGCUCCACACCUCCACUCUUCUCCUCCGUCUCCGUUCAUCUCUGCUGAGUAGUUGUGGUUGUGGCGUGUGGAUUAAUCGCGAUUAAUCGAUCUGAUCGGCGCUCUGGCGAUCAGAAACGAUCGACCGAUUAGAAAACAUUGGUGCUCAGGCAUCUGCAUCGGUCAACACCCCCCCCCCCCCCCCCUCUUGUUCUGUUCCGGUACUGCCUUUCAGCCCUCGAGUCCUACUGUAGGUGUUGAAGUAGUAAUUUGUUUUGUGCGCGCAAGUUCGAUUUCAUGUCUGCAUGUCAAUAGCUUUCCAUUUUUUUGGUCAUCUAUUUAGUGCAGUUUUGAAGUACAUCAUUUUUUACCGAUUUUUCGUUACUCCAUCUGUGUGCCUGGGAAUUGCGGAUCCCCACCCACCCCACCACGUCUUCUGAAGGGAGUUCAAGAGGAACCCCUUGAAUUCUAUGGGGUUUGUCCGCUCUGAAAUUUCUUUUGCUAUUUGUUUCGAUUUUUUCCGAAGUAUCCAAACAAGACCUCACGAAUCUGCUUAUGUAUCAAUAAUGUGGGUAUAUCUAUUUGUUUGUUCUCAUAGUCUGGCAUAUGUAUUAUAGAUAAACCUGUUCCAAUGGGCAAACAAAAAGAGGGUGUGGACAAAAGAACUGCUAGGAAGAUGAUCCGAUCUACGGAAGGCUGUGCAAAGAGCAUUACUUUCGAGAGGAACAACAAAUCAGACGAUGUGCAGCUUCACGAUCUGCCGAAUGUAAGAGUAAUUCGAAAUAGUUCAAUGCUCCUUUUGCAGUAAGCAUAUAUGUGAAAUGGUUCAAAAGAGUUUGAUAGGACCAGGUAAUCAGUGGUUCAGUUUACUCGGCUGCUUACUCACGCUACUUACUACGUGCAGGACAUCCUAGGUAGCAUACUAUCACGGUUGACAUUCAGAGAAUCCUCACAGAUGGGCCUUGUUUCUCAUACCUGGCGGCGGCUGUGGAGAAGCUGUUGCCGGAAACUGGUCUUCACCAGUGCCACCAUGUUCCAACCCGGAAAUAGGAGCAUCAAACAUACAAGGACCAACUUUGCCAUGAGAGUCAACAGUUUCUUGCGUCAGCUACGCACUCAUCCUACUCUUAAUAAGUUUGUUAUUAAGUUCGGGCUGCGCAGGAAGCACACUCGCCAUGUCAACAGAUGGAUUCGCUUCUGCUCCGUGUCGCGAGCAAGACACAUCACUAUUAAUUUCACUCCUGGAGUGAAAGAUUUUUUCAUGGGUCCAGCCAACAGCAAGUACAUCUUCCCCCUGAACGUUUUCAGUGGUCCAGAAGGCUCCUCUACACAUGUCAGAACUCUUCAUCUGGGCUAUGUCUGUCUGGACACAACCUCGUCUGAUUUCAUGAUCUUUGCAAAUCUUAAGAAGCUCACUCUGCACAAAAUUUCCUUUUUGGGAGACCUCCAGUGCCUGAUGCUGCCAGAAUGCAAUUCUCUUGAGUGUCUGAGCAUCAGCUUCUGUUCCUUGCCUGGUUUAAGCACAUGCCAACCGCUGCAACGUCUGCGAUGUGUUCGUUUGCACUACUGCUAUCUAAAAAAGAUUGAGCUGGAAGCUCCAAAUCUAACAUCGUUUGACUUGACCAACCAACCAAUUCCAUUUGUGCUUGGUGGAUCUCUGAAUGUAAUGGAAGCCAACAUUAAACUGUUAGCUAAGGACUCACCUUAUGGUGAUAAUCUGGACUACAUCUACACUGAGCUUCCUGCUGCGCUGUCUCAUGUGCAUAAACUCUCGAUAACCUCGGGUCUCUUCGUUUAUGAUCAGGUUUUGUCUGUUGCUGAAAGCACUUAAGUUCAUUCAACUAUUACUUACCUUUAUUUGCACCUGACAUGUUUGUUCUUCAUCUCAUACAUAUUUUGACUCUCAUGGUUAUAUUUCAGCUGCAAGGGUUUUCCAAAAC
rnacentral:lncRNA from 1 species